rfam:Picea glauca, whole genome shotgun sequence.
GGGUGCGGUCAUACCAGCUUUAAUGCACCGGAUCCCAUCAGAACUCCGCAGUUAAGCGCACUUGGGCGAGAGUAGUACUGGGAUGGGUGACCUCCCGGGAAGUCCUGGUGUUGCACCCU